rnacentral:rRNA from 1 species
GACAGAGGUGCCGAGCGUUAGGCGGAAUCACUGGGCUUAAAGCGUGUGUAGGCGGAUCGUUAAGUACCUUGUGAAAUCCCACGGCUUAACCGUGGAACUGCUUGGUAUACUGGCGGUCUUGAGCCACCUAGGGGCAACCGGAACAAAUGGUGGAGCGGUGAAAUGCGUAGAUAUCAGGAGGAACACCGGUGGUGUAGACGGCUUUCUGGACCGUAACUGACGCUGAAACACGAAAGCGUGGGUAGCAAACAGG